rnacentral:rRNA from 1 species
AAUCAACGCUGGCGGCGUGCCUAACACAUGCAAGUCGAACGCGAAAGCCCCGCAAGGGGUAAGUAGAGUGGCAAACGGGUGAGUAACACGUGGGUGACCUGCCUUCGAGUGGGGGAUAACGUCCCGAAAGGGACGCUAAUACCGCAUGACAUCCUGCUUUUGAAAAAGCGGAGAUCAAAGCUGGGGAUCGCAAGACCUAGCGCUUGAAGAGGGGCCCGCGCCUGAUUAGCUAGUUGGUGAGGUAACGGCUCACCAAGGCGACGAUCAGUAUCCGGCCUGAGAGGGCGGACGGACACACUGGGACUGAGACACGGCCCAGACUCCUACGGGGGGCAGCAGUGGGGAAUUGUUCGCAAUGGGCGCAAGCCUGACGACGCAACGCCGCGUGGAGGACGAAGAGCUUCGGGUCGUAAACUCCUGUCGAGCGGGACGAACGCUUCGCGGAUGAAUAAUCCGCGGAAUUGACGGUACCGCUAAAGGAAGCCCCGGCUAACUCCGUG